ensembl:lncRNA
CAGGGAUAGGAGAAUCAGGGCUGGGAAAAAAUUCAAAAGCAAAAGGAUCUAGAGCAGCAUCUGGACCAAGACUGGGAACAAAAUCAGAAGCAGAAGGAUCUAGAACAACAUCUGAAUCAGGACUGGGAACAAAAUCAGGAGCAGAAGGAUCUGGAGCAACAUCUGGAUCAGGACUGGGAACAAAAUCAUUAGCAGAAGGAUCUAAAGCAGCAUCUGGAUCAGGACUGGAGUGCUGCCCGAUGUGUCUGAUGCCAUUUCCUGCAGGGUGAGUGAACUUUAAAAAAUUCCACAAAGUUGAUUAAUUUCACAAUGCAGAACAAAAGAUGACAAUUGCAUGUAAUCUUACUACAUUUGCCUCAGCAACCCAAAAUGUCCCACUGGGUGACUGCCACAAGAUAUCCAAUGCAUAAAUCCUACCCCCAACACAUCCCAACAUUCCCCAGUUUGGCAUUUUUGGCAGCUGAAAGGCAGAGAAGUUUUAGCAAAAAAUCUUAUUGGAAAUCCAUGUGAAUAAACUGACACUUGUAUUUCAGAAUGCAAAACCUGAAGUUCAUUGUUCUUCUUCACUAGAGUUCUCAUUUCUCAGAUGGCCCAUUAAAAACUCUCAGAAUUCAGGUGUUUUGCAGAACAGCAACUCUAAUGAGGAUGCAAGGAAUGGGAUUUGCUCUCAUUGCAGAGUAGAUGCAUGUUCUGGAACACCAGAGACUAGAAGACUGAGAUCAGCUUUGGCACUAGAGAUGUUUAGCUGGCUCUUUAGGUGAAGCCAGAACAUACAUGCGCUCACUCAUGAACCCCUUGACAAAACAGUUUCACUAAGCUGUGAGAUGAAGUGUUGGUAGACAGAAUCAUGCAUUCUAUCACCUCUUUCAAAUGUCCAAAAUCAAAUUAGUCAUUUGCUGGAGAAAGACAUUUUAUUUUCCCUAAAUGAAAUGGAUUUGAGUGUUUGCGCCUGGGGUGCUGGUGGAGCGCUGCGAGAUGGAUAUCACAGCCACGGUUAUGUAACAUUCACUCCUGGAUGUGAUGUCAUCCCUGCAGAUGUAGAGCAGAGAAUCCAG